UACAGAGGUGCCAAGCGUUAGGCGGAAUCACUGGGCUUAAAGCGCGUGUAGGUGGACGGGUAAGUAUCUUGUGAAAUCCCACAGCUCAACUGUGGAACUGCUGGAUAUACUGCUUGUCUUGAGGCAUUCAGGGGCAACCGGAACAAAUGGUGGAGCGGUGAAAUGCGUAGAUAUCAUUUGGAACGCCUAUGGUGAAAACAGGUUGCUGGGGAUGUUCUGACACUGAGACGCGAAAGCCAGGGGAGCAAACGGG
rnacentral:rRNA from 1 species